UGGGGAAUAUUGCACAAUGGGCGCAAGCCUGAUGCAGCCAUGCCGCGUGUGUGAAGAAGGCCUUCGGGUUGUAAAGCACUUUCAGCGGGGAGGAAGGCGAUAAGGUUAAUAACCUCAUCGAUUGACGUUACCCGCAGAAGAAGCACCGGCUAACUCCGUGCCAGCAGCCGCGGUAAUACGGAGGGUGCAAGCGUUAAUCGGAAUUACUGGGCGUAAAGCGCACGCAGGCGGUCUGUCAAGUCGGAUGUGAAAUCCCCGGGCUCAACCUGGGAACUGCAUUCGAAACUGGCAGGCUAGAGUCUUGUAGAGGGGGGUAGAAUUCCAGGUGUAGCGGUGAAAUGCGUAGAGAUCUGGAGGAAUACCGGUGGCGAAGGCGGCCCCCUGGACAAAGACUGACGCUCAGGUGGGAAGGCGUGGGGAGCAAACAGG
rnacentral:rRNA from 1 species